AUCCAGGUGAUGAGUGCCAAAUGGGACGAAAUACGCAUCCUGGAU
rnacentral:hammerhead_ribozyme from 1 species